GACGAACGCUGGCGGCGUGCUUAACACAUGCAAGUCGAACGGAAAGGCCCUGCUUUUGUGGGGUGCUCGAGUGGCGAACGGGUGAGUAACACGUGAGUAACCUGCCCUUGACUUUGGGAUAACUUCAGGAAACUGGGGCUAAUACCGGAUAGGAGCUCCUGCUGCAUGGUGGGGGUUGGAAAGUUUCGGCGGUUGGGGAUGGACUCGCGGCUUAUCAGCUUGUUGGUGGGGUAGUGGCUUACCAAGGCUUUGACGGGUAGCCGGCCUGAGAGGGUGACCGGCCACAUUGGGACGGAGAGACGGAGCAGACGGCAACGGGAGGCAGCAGUGGGGAAUAUUGCACAAUGGGCGGAAGCCUGAUGAAGCAAAGCCGCGUGCGGGAUGACGGCCUUCGGGUUGUAAACAGAUUUCGCCUGUGACGAAGCGUGAGUGACGGUAAUGGGUAAAGAAGCACCGGCUAACUACGUG
rnacentral:rRNA from 1 species